GAUGGAGGUUCUCCGAGGACAGAGGCCUUGCCCAGGUGCUCAUCCCAGGUCCAAGGUCUGAGUAACUGGCCAUAAGUGGAACAUCUCCGAACAAGAGCGCAGAAUUCAAAUCCCACUGAAGCCGCCAUGUUGGCUUGUCAGACAAACGGGAAUGUGGGUGGAGGGCACACACCUCCACCCAGGGUCUGCAGGAGGAGCCCCCGCCUCUGCCCUGCUUUUGCUCAGGCCUAAUGUGGGACGAUUAACCAAGGCCACUCUGGUCACACAGUGACGGAACCAAGUCCUAGCCGGGAGGAGGAGAGCAAAGGCCACCUCAGGCUGGCAGGGGAAAACUGCCCAGCAGGAUCUACAGACGUGCUUAGACUUUGCCUCCCCGGGCUUCUCAGACGCAGCAGCAUCUAAUCCCAGCACCCAUUCCAUGAGCACUUAUUAUGUGCCAGGCACAAGCUAAACCUCUGUAUGAACUCGCAACAACCACCAGACUUCAACAUUGUUUUCCAAUUGAGGAAGCUAGUGCUCAGAGCGAGGUGUGUGCCCAGCCACUGCAGUCGGGGCCGGUGCUCUGUUUGUCAGCCAGGCUGGCUCCCAGGCUAUGAGGGCACUGACCCUGGGCCCUAAGGGGCAGGAGCAGCACAGAGCCCCGCUCCAGGCAGAGCUCAUGCCGAGGUCCCUCACCCACCCCACGCCUCUUCCAAAUAAGCCAAAGCCUGCAGCCUCUCCAUGGUCAGAGUCCUGCCCCUCAAAAACGGUCAGAGUCUGGGGCAGAUCCUAUAAUCCCACUGUGGGUGCUAAAGGACUGGACGCAGGAAGAGGGCGUGGGCACAGGCGCCAGAAGUCCCAGGAAGGGGUGCCAGACAUUCACAGGGGCGCCUCCGCUCAGGAAGGCAGCUUGGGGGAAGCAAAUCACAGAACUCUGGGGCCCAGGAAGGAGCAAGCCCUUCAGAAGGCUUCCUGGAUGCUUCUCCAAGCCACAGAGUUUGGAAGCUGCCUCAUCCCAGGAAAUGUCUGAGGACAAGAAACACCGAUCAGAGGCCCCGAGCAACUGGGAGCUGGCACAAGGGGAAGGGACAGCCUGAUGGCCUUUAUGCCAGACGUCCCCAAAAGGAUGUGGGGGGAGAGGGGGGAGAGGAAGCAGUCGAGGGGAGAGGAUGUCAGACAAUUGUGGGUGGGCACAGCUCUGACUGUUAUAACCAGCAGCCCCAAAGCUCCACCUCCACCUUGGACCUGAACCAGACCUCUGUCCUUGGUGGUCAGCGGGAUUGUGUGCUCAGUGACAGCUUGCUAAAAAAACAUUCUGGAAAUGAGUCAGAUGGCUCAGCUGGGAAAGAGUUCCGGGUUCCCUGGAGCGAGCGGCCACGUCCAAGGAGGACAGGGAAGUGUGGCUCUUUCACGGUGGGGAGCCAGGACCUGAUAGAGGGGUGUGCUACAGACCUGACCCUUCAGGUGCCCUUGCAGGGGUGACCUUGAUCUUGACCUUGUGGGGCAGGAAGUCUUGCUCUGGGAGAUGGCUCAGUGGUGGGGAGAGGAGUUCACACGUUUCUGAGGUCAUUUUCUACUUUCGGGAGCAGAUCUUUGUGGCUGAAGCGCGCUGCUCGGGGCCGGCCUCAUCCUUCAUAGGAUCACAGUGCUGUGGUUCCUUUGCAUCUUGUUCUCGUUCUCCUCCUGUCAGCCUGGCUUCCAGGCUCGCAGAGUCCCGCUGCUUUGGUAUGAGUGGGAGAUGAGAUUGUUGCUCAGGAAACCAAGAUCCCUGUCUGUACAGAGCAGAUUUCCAUCUUAGGACUUCAGAGUGUCCGAAUGGGGUCCGGCCACUGAUGAUGUUCACCAGGCCGCUGGGUUUUGUGGUCAAGCACAGACAACGGGGCAUAGAGACCACCCAGCCAAGAGGACCCCAGCAGUCAGGGGCUUCAGCCUUUUGGUGACACUUUUGUCCCACAUCUACCAGGAUGUGUCCCCUACCCCAGAGGUUUUCUGAGCUACUCAACAUCCUGCUUGGGAGUGAGAGGGAAACAGGCCGUGUCUGUGUGUGUGUGUGUGUGUGUGUGAGGGCAGGGUGGAGAGUGGAGAGGGGUGGCGGAUUUUUUUCCCUAGUUGUAAAUCCUGCCCAGCAAAUCCCAAACCAAGAAGCCACACAGAGUUAGAUGGAUUAUAGUAGGUUCAAGUCAUUUAUUUUUAGAAGGUACCAGCAUGUUUGGUUCUGGGGUCCAAUCCCCAAAUUCCAGAAAAAUAAACUAAUGAGAACCACAUGCACUAUGAGAAGGCCAUUCCAACGUGUCUGUGAUCAUGCAGUGAGUGGGCAUAGAAUACAGACCAGGAGCCCUGGGCGUGGAGCAGGGCCUCCCUCCUUGGACUGCUGACAGCAGCUGGAUCUAGCCCUCAGUGAGGCUGGGGAGAGGGCCGAGGCUGGGCCAUUUGGACCCUGUCCCUUUACGGCCCUGGGCUCCUUAUUGCUACAUUUGCUACUUUGCUACUUUAUGGCCCCUGGGUUAUGCCCAGAGGAUGCCUUAUCAGUGGGUGGUACUAACGAGCAGGCUGCUGGCGUCUGCCGUUGCCAUGGUUACACAAGCACAGACCUCAAUUCAGAGGGUCCCAUGGUGAGUUCUCAGGGAUGCAUUUGGCCACUAUUCGACUGUGCCACACAUGGUCCUUUGCUACAUAAUCAGCUCAUCCAGUUUCUUUGAAGCCCCCACAGGGCUUUCCAGCUCCUGGAUUUUAUCGGAAAUGCCCUUCAAUAAAUCCUGCAAGACCCAAAGACCAACAGCCCUCAAUCCUUUCCAAGCUUCCAGGAAGCCUUCCUCGUGGUGGCUUUGGAAGUCCAUGCAUUUGGAGUAUAAUGAGAAGGGUGCAUUUUAGGGAGAACACCAACUUCUACAACCAGCCAAGGAGCCAGAUGGGCGGCAGCCUCCUGCUUCAUGCCCUGUUGGUGAGGUAGUUUGAACACACCAGUAACGCUGCUGCAGGAAAAGCCCCUGGAGCAUGUCUCCGAGUGUUCACUGGUCUAAGAAGCAAUGCAGAGUGGCGAGAGGUCCCUCCCGGGUGCUGGCCUUUACCUGACCCAUUGGCAGUGGUGGGCCUGGAGCCUGCUGCAUUUCUGGGGGUACAGCAACAGCUCCCCAGCAGAACAAAGCAUCCUUUCCUGGAAGGGCAGGAGCCUUCUCCCCAGUCCAGAGAGCGCCUGCUGCUCUGGUCAGGCCUUCUGGCCGUGGCAGGGCACCUACGUGCAUCAACCUACAAGCUCGACUCUCUCCAGGUAGGCAAAGUCUAUGCCAGUCAGAUGCCUGGUGCCGUGACGCGUGGGUGGUCACUCCUAAGACUGCCCUGAUGCUUUAGCCCUGGGGCUGCCAACAUGAUAUUUACCCCAAGAGCCCUCACUGGGAGGAGUCCCAGGCCCAGAGACCAUGGUGCCCAGUUAGGGGAGCUAAGGCAGGUCAGGGCAAAAGAGCAAAAUCUGUUUUGCUACAGAACUGCCUUCGAAAAUCUAAUCUGGUCUGAACUUUUGGCUAUGUCGGCCAGGCCAGUAGGGAACUGGCCAAGACCAGACUUUGCAAGUAUUCUUGCAUUCUAGGGCCUGCGUGGUAGACUGCCCUAGGACUGGCCAACUUGGGUGGAGCAAUUCCAUCCCACCCUUCACUGCUGGACGUGAUCUACCAGGGAGCACAGGGUGGUGGUCCCAGGACUGAGCAGGCCUUGGUUGGAAGGUGGGAGGAGGGGGUUAUUGCUCUGGAUUUGAAUCCAUCUGAGGUGCCCUUACAUGUCUUGAGCCUGCUGGAUGUUCUCAGAGGUGGCGGGAAGCCUGCUCCAUCUCGGGGGAGCAAUCCACCUGGCUCUGGGAGGACCCUCUGGGGACCCCCAGGCUGGGCCAAGCCUCGGAAGCCAUGGCCAGGGGGACACAGCCAUGGCUAUAGCCAUGAGGAAGGACAGGAGGCAGCCCAGCCCUUGCCCUGACAACUCUAUGCCCCAGAGGGCACAGAGGCAUCUGCUCUUCUGGAACUGCCUUUGUCCGCAUACCCAGUGCAUCAGUGUUAGCACAGCCUGGCACCCAGGCAGGAAGUGGGCUGCCUUUGGGCAAUGUUGGGUAUCUGCGAUUCUGUUCUGAACCAGGAGGUCUGUGUGAAAAGCAAGGGGGUAGAAAAGGGUGGGGGGAGGAGAGGAGGGGUCAGAAGACCCCAUAAUAUGGGAUAGGGCUUCACAUAGCUCAGUGACUCAUCGGGCAGCUGCCGAGGGUCUGCCAAGGGUCAGGCUCUGUGCCCAGGUGGUGCCACAUGAGGGGGAGGGGGUGUCUUCCCCAGAGUCAGGGUCUAUAGUGCUCUCCUUGGGAACACUCUGAGAUCCUUACAUAAUGUCUCUCACUUCCCCUGUACCUUGAGGUGGGAGCAACCACUGCCACCAGGGGUAACUGAGGCAUGAGGGGCAAGAAUCCACCAGGGUACAACUGGAGUCCCGACUCCUCGUGCCUGCAGUGGCCCCACCCUGGGGAGGGAAGCUGGUGCCCUGGAGACAGGGCAUGAAAGUGGGGUGGGAAAGAUGGUCCCAAGGGCACACCGGGGAAGCAGCCUCUGCAGACAAGCUUAUGUGCCUCACUGGCUGGUGCAUUUGCCCACAUGAGUGAAGAAAUACCCGUCAUUGCUGUUUUGCUUCUGUGUUUGCUGUGUGUCUAUUCCCAAGGGAGAUUUUUCACCUCCCGCCAAAAGCAGAUGAAAGGAGGAAGGUCAGAGCAGGUGAGGGGGUUGUGUCUGAAUGCAAAAGCAUGUUGCUUAUGCCACGCUGUCCAAGGGCUCCUGGGAGUCACCAUGAUGGCAGCGACCACGAUGAGAGGAGGAAUAGCUACCGUUUGCGAAGCACCUACUACGCGCCAGGCACCCGACGCAGUGCCCUGCAUCACUCCCGCCCCGCCAAUGGCAGAUGGUCGUUUGGACACACACAGGAAAGAGGGAGACUCUGUCCGCAGAGGUGGAGCGCCGCCGCCUGCCCGUGUGGUCCUCGGGCCCGAGCCCUGCGGGCGGAACCGUCAGGAGGACUGCAUCAGGCCGGUGAGCCGCUUGCCCGCCAGCGACUUUCCCUGCAGAGACAGCGACACGGAGGCACCACAGGCGCACACACACACAGAGGACAGAGACAGAGAGCCAGACAGGUGGAUUAACUGGUGCACGAGCCUCGGAGGCCACACAAUAGCUCACGGACCCCUCUGACCUCUGCAUGGGGGCACCUUAACCACAGACAGGGAUCAAAGUGAAAUCUGACAGCAGAGGCUACCGGUAUUCAGAGAUGAGCUGCCCUGAGGUCUGUGCUGCUGGGGGCUUGCUGGGAGCUCCGAGCUACCUACUCUGUCCAGAGAGAGGAGAGUGCCCGCCCUGCACCCUCUAGGGCUCUUUCUUGCCUCCUCUUCACCCCGUCCUGCCUCCGGUUUGGGAUGGGAAUGUGCACUGUUCCUCAAUGCUGGUCAGUUGGGAAUGGAUCAUGGUGCCAGGAAACUGCAGCCAGCUCAGCCUGAGGCCCUGGCGUAGCUGAGCGAAGCAGCUGAAGGUGGUUGAAAAUGCUAUUAGCAGGCAGCCUUUGUCCAAGUGAAAAAAUAUACGGUGAUUAAGAACUGAGCUGCCGAAGGUACAUUCCGGAGACACCAAAGCUUUGCCUUCAAACAAAGGGCUUUUCACCUUCAAGACAUUUGGCUAAGUUUCAUCCACUAGAAUCUGGGACCCUUCAAUUUCAUGGACUGCUCAGUGCCGGGUUCACAAACGCCUACACGUUCAAUUCCCACCCUCUACUCUGACGAAUCAUUUCAGCUCUGCAGCCCUCUUGAUGGCUAGAAGCCUGGAAGAAGGUGGUCAUGGAAUCCUUUGUUUCUAACAGGAGAUGCACAAAAGGAAUCGCUCCCUUUUGUUCAGUGCUUCAGGAAAAAAAAAAAAAUCAACAUGCUGCUUGACAUGCUGAGGCUCUGUGCAUCGUACUUCCAGAUCUUAAAUCAACAAAGCAUGCACCACCCGGGUUACCAAGAGCUUUUGCCACUUACUUACCUCGGAGACUGAUGCUAACCUCUUUGGCUGGGAGAAGGGCUGUGGCUCAGAGAGGAGCCCUGGGAGUCAGAUGGCAUGUGGGGGCAGCGGAGCCAAGCACUAGUGGCUCCAGCAGAACCUUUUUCAACACUAGGAAAGUAAAGACACCUGAGCUGCAGCUGAGACUUUUUUCUUGCUGAUUUGCCCAGAUGACCUAAGACCAGCGUUACAGAUCUUAAGUCCACUCUAAAAAUCCAUGCUACCAGGGGGACAGAAAUCAACUGUGGCUGCCUCUAGGAGAGAGGGAUGGAAUUGACUGGAAAGGGGCGUGAAGGAACUUUCUAGGGUAAUGGGGUAUAGGUUACAUUGAUACAGACAUUUGUCAAACUCACUGAACCAUGCAUUUCAGAUCUAUUCAUUUUGCCAUGUGCAAUUAUGCCUCAAAAGAAAAGAAAAACGAUUAAAAAAAAAUUCCAGCUAUCA